rnacentral:lncRNA from 1 species
AAAAUUUGUAUGGUAGGUGUAAAGAAAAUCAUAGUAACUGUACCAUAUUAUUAACCCCUAAAUCAAACUUUUUUUGUCUUGUGUAUCUUGAUUUUUCUGUGUGCUUUAUAGUGAAGCAGCCGACACGAGUCGUUGUUCAUAAAACAGCUUUUGAAAGUUGAGAGCACACCCCUGGAGAACCGACUGUGCUUGCUUACGUUUGGUUCAUGACUUAAAAAUCGAGUACAGGUGAUGAAAUCUUGGCAGUGUUAACAAAACAGUAGUGUGUAUUGUGCUAUUUUUUUUACUCUAGAAACUUAACCAUUGUAGAGAAAAAGGAAACAAAUUUUCACACAUUGAAGUUUCAAUCUGACAUAAAAUUAAUGAUAAAUAAUCAUAGAGAUCAAACUUUAUAUUUUAGCGAACAUAAGUACUUUCAACAAACUCAGGUGGUGUAUCAGGGAGACAUUUUCUGGGUGUUUUUGUGUGUUUUCUGUCUUACAAGAGAGUGUGUUCUCAUGCAAGGAUGUUUCUCUGCAGGAGUUAUUCCUGAUGAGACUAAGGCUUUGUCUCUAUUGGCACCAGCUAAUGCAGUGGCAGGUCUUCUGCCUGGUGGUGGACUCCUGCCUACCCCCAACCCACUUACCCAGAUUGGCGCUGUUCCCCUGGCUGCAUUGGGAGCUCCAGCUCUUGAUCCUGCCCUUGCUGCUCUUGGGCUUCCAGGAACAAACUUGAACUCUCAGUCCCUUGCUGCAGACCAGCUAUUGAAGCUUAUGAGUACUGUUGAUCCCAAGUAAGCUUUAAAAUCCAGACAAGAAGGAAGAAAAGAGAAGACAUUCGAGAUCAAGGUCACGCUCCAGGAGGAGGAGGACCCCCUCAUCCUCCAGACACAGGCGGUCACGAAGCCGGUCAAGGAGGCGGUCACACUCCAAGUCCAGGAGUAGAAGGAGAUCCAAAAGUCCAAGACGGAGACGAUCUCAUUCGAGAGAGAGGGGUAGAAGGUCAAGGAGCACAUCCAAAGCCAG